rnacentral:lncRNA from 1 species
UGGUAUUAUGUUUGGUCAAUGGUAUACCUUCUGGGAAUUCUUCUUUGCAACUUUGAUUGGGAAGACCAGCAUCAAGACUCGUAAUCAGGUCUGUUCUAUACAUUUUUUAUCAAUUAAUCCUUAUUUUAGUUGUUUUUUAAGGUACUCUGGCCAUAGACUAUUGUAGUACAAGGUUCAGAGGUCCAACUUGUUUAAUUUCAUAUGCACACUUGAUACUGUUAUAGUUGCUUUUAGCCAUGAAGAUUGUGAUAACUAUAGUCUUCAGAUCUAAAUUGUAGUUCUAUGACGAAGUUAUUGUGUAGCUGUCAAUUCAUUGUGGUUUGGAGACGUUAUAGAGAAAGUUAGAAGCCAUGAAUGCCAACAAUACAUAUCGUCUUUAUCUAGUUCUAUUUGCUGGAAAUGACCUUAUUUCACCACACUUAUUCAUCUGUGUACUGUAGAAUGUGCACUGUAGAAUGUGCAUGUUCAUCUCUUUUUUGUUUUCUGUAUAUCACAGUUAUUCCUUUGGCAGUUUUUAGUUGAAAUCUGUUUCAACAUUGGAAGUACUUAAUACUUACAAUUUUUUCCUUUUAGGUGGAUGGAUCUUCCCAAGCCUAAGAGCAUGCUGGUACUCUGUUUGACAGCUUCUUCCCAUGCUGAGAAGACCAUGGUGCUACUCCGGCCAAGGAGAAUCAUUUAGGAAUGUAUUUUCUGACUGUUCAGCUUCGUUUGUCUUUUGGAGGGGCUAAAUGGAGCAGCUCUUGUUCUUUUUAAGUUUUUGGGAACCAUGAGUUGGAAUAUCAUUUUGUGAACAAUUCAAGAUAUUGCAAUGAAUGUGAUCUUAUUUACUCAGAUGUGCAUAUUGCUGUGCAGAAAUAUGAAUGGAAUCAAUUUGUAUUUUUUCUGAAUUUUGAAUGAUUUAAUGUAAUACCUACCGAAUUUGCUGUUCUGG